AUGUGUAAAAAUGGCUUGAAGUCACAGAUACCUCUUGAGCUGCAUUUCUUGUUCACCAGUUUUACUGAAUUUUGCAUCUACACGGCACCCACACUGUCACAUGGUGCGAUGAAAUACCACAUUUUUUGCCUUUCUUUCUAUGGUACAGCUCAGGACGUGCCCCUUUUCUGUGGACCAGGAGGUCAAGAUAAUAUAAGCUGCAGCUCUGCAAAACUGAAGGAAAAUCUUCAGAUAAUCACUGCGAAGGCACAACAGAAGAUGCAGCUGGAUUUCUGCAGGGGAAGCAGCUGUGGGCUCUGUUUCGAACGGGUAGGAUUUGGGAAAAUUCCUAAAGGCUGGGAAUAUGUGUGGCAUUUGUAAAGUACAACAUACCUGGCAGAUACAGAGCUAACAUCAAUGUUUAUUAUACCAAUAACACCUGUGGCCUCCAAGAGCUGAGUGCUCAACAGAAAAGAGACAUUCAGGGGCUUGCUAGUCUGCUGUGACUUGCUUUAGAUGUUAGUUCAAUUCCAGUCUGGUUUGACAGCAGUGAAAAACUGCUAUCUCCUCCCUGCCUGGAAUUAGUAAAAAUAUUUAUGUCAUUUUACAGAAGCCAUGGUUGUCCCUGGUGAUAUCUUGUCAUCAGUGAGGUGGGUGGUGAAGGAGCUGCUUCUUCCUCCAGGUUCACCAAUAGCUGAUUCCCCUUCUAUUAUCUCUGAAGACCUCACAAGCCUUUCAUAUUAUUUGACCAAGGCAUGCCACUUCCAAACUUUGUAGGGUGAUAUCUGACCUGGUAUCUCAGCUGGCAAGCCUGACUUCUUUGCCCUACCUGACCCACCGUCUCCAGAGUAACUUCUUGCAAUGAGAUAAACUCAGAGUAACUUAUUGCAGUGGGAUCUACAUAAAGAGAUGCAGAUUCCUCAAGUCAAAGCAAGGGAUGGCUUGUUACGUAGUGACCUUUCAGUCACUUACUUAUUGAUUGCACAGAAUCCAAAGCGUGUCCAUAAUUUUAUGCUAACUUGAUGCCUGAG
rnacentral:lncRNA from 1 species